rnacentral:rRNA from 1 species
AUUGAACGCUGGCGGCAGGCCUAACACAUGCAAGUCGAGCGAGCGGCGGACGGGUGCGUACUGUCUGGGAAACCGCCUGAAGGAGGGGGAUAACUACUGGAAACGGUAGCUAAUAACGCAUUCAAUCAGCUGUGCCCAGAGGGGAUUAGCUAGUAGUGGGGGUAACGGCUCACCUAGGCGACGAUCCCUAGCCGGUCUGCGAGGUUGACCAGCCACACGGGAACUGAGACACGGUCCAGACUCCUACGGGAGGCAGCAGUGGGGAAUAUUGCACAAUGGGCGCAAGCCUGAUGCAGCCAUGCCGCGUGUGUGAAGAAGGCCUUCGGGUUGUAAAGCACUUUCAGCGGGGAGGCGUUACCCACAGAAGAAGCACCGGCUAACUCCGUGCCAGCAGCCGCGGUAAUUC